GAGAGAGUUCAAGAGUACGUGAAACUGCUCGGAGGGAAACGGGUGGGCCCUCGAAGUCCGGCGGCGGGAGGAUUCAGUCGGGCGACUCGGACGACAGCCGGGCGCGCUGCGCCACCCCCCACGGGUGGAGGCCGCGCCGAUCGGAGACGUCGCUUUCGGGUGGUCCGGCGCAUUUCUUUCCCGUCCGGAGGACGCCGCAACCGGUCGGGUGCCCCAGCGGCCGUGAGGACGGGAGCCGGCAGGGGGCCGGUGGGCAGCCUUUGCGCUGGCCGCCGGUCUUUGGCCUUUCCGUCUGGGCACGCCACCCGACCGAAUCGAUGCACGAGGUCCGCAUGGGCCUCGCCGCCUCCUCAUCCGCCUGCGGGAGCGGACGCCGCGGCAGGAGUGCCCCGCACCUCGGUCGCACGGGAAGAACCCGGGGAUCCGAGGGAGCGAGUGAGGACUUUGCUGGCCGCGGACUUUUCCGCGGGAGGAGCCGACGGCGGUUGGCGGCGAGUAGGUCGGUCACCCACCCGACCCGUCUUGAAACACGGACCAAGGAGUCUAACAUGCGUGCGAGUCAAUGGGUCUCGUACAAGCCCAAAGGCGGAGCGAAAGCAAAGGGAGGGAUGCCUCCCUCCCGAGUCGGGAUCCCUCUUCUUAUAUACGGAGGGGGCGCACCGACGGCCCGCCCAGACCGCCUCGCGCGGUCGGGCGGCGUCCGAGCACGCACGUUGGGACCCGAAAGAUGGUGAACUAUGCCUGGGCAGGACGAGGCCAGAGGAAACUCUGGUGGAGGUCCGCAGCGG
rnacentral:rRNA from 1 species